AAUUCCACCCAAUCAUCGGAGCCAGCAAAGAACCCCUUUCAUCAAAACCAUCAAAAGCAGAUUAAAACGGAACCCUUGGAAGUGCCACCUCAGCGAUGGAUUUCCGACCGGCAAAACUUGCAUCCAGCUCCAGUCUCGCGGUAAGAUACCGGAAGGCGAGGCGAAGUUUGUUUGUUUUUUUUGCUCCUCUCGUGUACUUCAAAACCAACACCUCGGUCUGUGGCGGGUUCGGCCGAUAAAAUUAGGAAAAAAAUUAAGGAGCAGAAAACGUGCUCACCAGGAAGGAAAAACGAGAACCCAUCGCAAGGAACGAGCAGCAGUCAGGAAAUCGCGGUAAUCAGAAUCAGAACGUACAUCGAGUCUCCAGGAUCUUUUUCUCGGUGCAAAAUGACGACCGGGAGGAGGGUACAAUUAUUUAUACAAAUUGAGUUAUUUGUCACGAGUUUUUUUUUCUCGCUGUUUCUCUCUCUCUCUCUCUCUCUUUCGAGGUCUGGUUCUUAGAUUUAUCCGCCGGUUUGGCCGUAAAGCGACGAAAAGGACGUCAUUCAACCGAUAAGGAUUUCCUUCAGAGACUUAGAAAAAGCCACGAAACACAGGAGAAAGGGCAGUUUAAUCCAAUUUUCUGUUUCUUGAAAUUAUUGUAUUAUUUAAUUUGUUUUUAUACUUCCUAGUGGAAGAUUUUUUUCUCCUGCUGCCAUGGACAAUUGCUGUACACUUUCGUGUUGUUUUGUGAAAGGUUGGGAAAAGGGUUGAAUGCAUAUUCAUUUGAGGGUUGUGUUUUUGCUGCCGAUUUGAGCUGUUUUGAACGGUGUUUCGGAAGGCCCGGCCGACAGGGAAUGGAGACUGAUGUUGAUGAUGUGAUAAAAGAAGGAAUUAAUUUUGCUCUUCUUGACUGGGCUCGUAAACAGUGACAAUAAUCACUGCCCAAUAGAUCGGAGGAGCCGGAUUUAAUUGGAGGAAAUAUAUUUCUUUGCCCUUUAUUGCCGGCCGAAGAUGCUGAGUACGAGAAAGGAUUAGACGAUGGCACAGAUACAACACAAGAUGAAUUGGACGGCUACCGACGCCAAUACAGAAGAUCUUGGCAGCUUAGCAUCUGUGUUCCAUCUAGAAGUAUUAUUUCACCAGCACCUACCGCAGCCUCACCCAAACCGAACCUGCGAACCUAACGAAUCCGGUCACAUCAUCUGCACCGGUUCGAAACACAGGAUUUUAAUUUUACAAAAUAGAGUGAAAUAUUUCGACACACACCCGAAGCGAUUUCGGUCAGUUUCGGACGACGGCUCUGGUCAGCGGACCGAAAUCAUCUCAUUUCGUCACCGGAACCGAGGAAAACUUCUUCUAGGUCCUCCGGAUGGCUGGUGUGACAAACAAGCAGAUGCAAGCGGAUUCCACCUCCCCGUUGGUAGGAAAUUUCACUGUAAGCUCUGGACAUCACA